GACCGAGAUCUGUCAAUGCCAAGAAGGAUCCAGCAUUUGGAGGCAAAGGUGAAGCUCCAUCCUCUGCAAUCUCUGGAUGGCCAUGUGCAGAUGAUCAAAAUGCUUCACUUUCAAGGCUUUCUAAAGAAGAGUUAACCCUAAGUGUGUAUUGUAUAGCUUGAUAAAUUGCAAAAGCACAAGAGCAGAUCCUCAAUAGAAAAAAACAACAGCUUGAAGAAGCAGCAGCUAACACUCCGGAGCCGCAGAAGCCUGGGCCCCCUCCUCCCGAUGUACAGAAGCAAUGCAGAACUGUCCAAAAUAUUUACGAUGAGAAUCAGAAAAGAGCAGAAGCAGCUCAUAAAAUUUUUGAAGGUCUUGGCCCAAAAGUUGAACUGCCACCCUAUAACCAACAUUAGAUACAAAGAGGUGCCAAAAGAACAUCAAGACAAACCAGGUGAUGAGGGAAAACCCACUUUUUAAAAGAAGAAAUCAUCCAAGAAACAAAGGGAACAAAAAAACAUCUGCCAGAAUUAUGAUGAGCUCAUGGAGGAUGGGAGAAAAAAAAACGGACAGAAGAGAGAAUCCUCAGAGGAAGGCUAGAAAGCAAAACAAGGGAGUGUGG
rnacentral:lncRNA from 1 species